UACGUAGGGGGCGAGCGUUGUCCGGAAUUAUUGGGCGUAAAGAGCUCGUAGGCGGCUUGGCAAGUCGGAUGUGAAAACUCCAGGCUCAACCUGGAGCCGCCAUUCGAUACUGCUAUGGCUAGAGUCCGGUAGGGGAGUGUGGAAUUCCCGGUGUAGCGGUGAAAUGCGCAGAUAUCGGGAGGAACACCAAUGGCGAAGGCAGCUCGCUGGGACGUUACUGACGCUGAGGAGCGAAAGCGUGGGGAGCGAACAGG
rnacentral:rRNA from 1 species